GAGAAAGCCCCACUCUUUGGGAACUACCACUCUCAUGUGACUUUCCUUUGGCAAAUAUCUACUCAUUGGUCUCCAUGAGCUGAUGGUGAACAAGAGCACUAGAAUCCUUCACCUCAAGGAGUUCGUAGUCUGCUGGAGAAUUACAAAUAGUGGGCAAAGGGGAAAAGAAGAAGUUCUCAAGCAGAAGGAACAACAUAAAGCCUGUUCUAAAAGUGGUGAGAAGGAUUUGGAAGGAUGCUAAAUUGGAAGUUUGAACCAUGCCAGUGCGAAGUAAAGAAAGUCUAAGACAAUUGCUGAAGAGAGGAAGAGGAGGGGCAAGAAAGUAAACAUAUUUAUGAGGCAGAAUUGGUACAACCCGGAAAGAAUAAUUUCUUGGCUACAGAUUUGUUUCCUUCCCUUUCCAGCUCUACAGUUUUAAAAGUUUAAAUGUGGGAGUGAAAAUGAUAAAUUAUGACUCUCACGUGCACACCACUUUUUGGCAAAUCCAGUUAACCUUAAAAGUGCCCCUAUCGUUGACAAAGAAAAACAUUUCUAAAUUUGAUUUUGGAAUUUAUUUCUGAUUUUAAUUAGCAGGUAUUCUGUAAUCUACUCUAACUUCUCUUCCUGACAUCAAAGCCCAUCAGCACAGGCGGAAAACUCUGUCAGCUUACCUAAAAGCCCAAGAAUGAAGACUGCUUAAAUUUCUGGCAGUUCUAAAGAGCAAUACAUUUGAGAGUGUAGACUGCUAGUAAUGAUACUAUGUUCUCACCUAGAUGGCACGUUUCUGGCACUAGAAAAAAACUCUUCACCUUUCUUGUAAUUGGCUUAUCCCAAGUCCCAAGACUGUUUUUCCUAUCAUUGUGCAGAUUGCCAUGGAAAUAA